rnacentral:rRNA from 1 species
GAUGAACGCUGGCGGCGUGCCUAAUACAUGCAAGUCGAGCGAACGGACGAGAAGCUUGCUUCUCUGAUGUUAGCGGCGGACGGGUGAGUAACACGUGGAUAACCUAUCUAUAAGACUGGGAUAACUUCGGGAAACCGGAGCUAAUACCGGAUAAUAUUUUGAACCGCAUGGUUCAAAAGUGAAAGACGGUCUUGCUGUCACUUAUAGAUGGAUCCGCGCUGCAUUAGCUAGUUGGUAAGGUAACGGCUUACCAAGGCAACGAUGCAUAGCCGACCUGAGAGGGUGAUCGGCCACACUGGAACUGAGACACGGUCCAGACUCCUACGGGAGGCAGCAGUAGGGAAUCUUCCGCAAUGGGCGAAAGCCUGACGGAGCAACGCCGCGUGAGUGAUGAAGGUCUUCGGAUAGUAAAACUCUGUUAUUAGGGAAGAACAUAUGUGUAAGUAACUGUGCACAUCUUGACGGUACCUAAUCAGAAAGCCACGGCUAACUACGUG